UACCAGCACCCCGAGUGGUCGGGACGAUUAUUGGGCCUAAAGCAUCCGUAGCCGGUCCUACAAGUCUUCCGUUAAAUCCACCUGCUUAACAGAUGGGCUGCGGAAGAUACUAUAGGGCUAGGAGGCGGGAGAGGCAAGCGGUACUCGGUGGGUAGGGGUAAAAUCCUCUGAUCCAUUGAAGACCACCAGUGGCGAAGGCGGCUUGCCAGAACGCGCUCGACGGUGAGGGAUGAAAGCUGGGGGAGCAAACCGG
rnacentral:rRNA from 1 species